GCCUGGGUGGCUUAGUUGGUUAAGUGUCCGACUUCGACUCAGGCCAUGAUCUCAUGGUUCGUGGGUUUGAGCCCCACGUUGGGCU
rnacentral:tRNA from 1 species